rnacentral:rRNA from 1 species
UAACACGUAGGGGGCGAGCGUUGUCCGGAUUUAUUGGGCGUAAAGAGCUCGUAGGCGGUUUGGCAAGUCGGGUGUGAAAUUUCGAGGCUCAACCUCGAAACGCCACUCGAUACUGCCAUGACUGGAGUCCGGUAGAGGAGUGCGGAAUUCCUGGUGUAGCGGUGAAAUGCGCAGAUAUCAGGAGGAACACCAACGGCGAAGGCAGCACUCUGGGCCGGUACUGACGCUGAGGAGCGAAAGCGUGGGGAGCAAACAGGAUUAGAUACCCUGGUAGUCCACGCCGUAAACGUUGGGCACUAGGUGUGGGGGGCUGUCAACGCCCUCCGUGCCGUAGCUAACGCAUUAAGUGCCCCGCCUGGGGAGUACGGCCGCAAGGCUA